rnacentral:rRNA from 1 species
CUUGGCUCAGGAUGAACGCUAGCUACAGGCUUAACACAUGCAAGUCGCGGGGCAGCAUGUCGGUUGCUUGCAACCGAUGAUGGCGACCGGCGCACGGGUGAGUAACGCGUAUCCAACCUUCCCCAUAGUAGGGUACGGCCCGGCGAAAGUCGGAUUAAUGCCCUAUGUUCUUCGCAGAUGGCAUCUGAUGUGAAGCAAAGGUUCUCCGCUAUGGGAUGGGGAUGCGUCUGAUUAGCUUGCCGGCGGGGUAACGGCCCACCGGGGCGACGAUCAGUAGGGGUUCUGAGAGGAAGGUCCCCCACACUGGUACUGAGACACGGACCAGACUCCUACGGGAGGCAGCAGUGAGGAAUAUUGGUCAAUGGGCGGGAGCCUGAACCAGCCAAGUAGCGUGCAGGAUGACGGCCCUACGGGUUGUAAACUGCUUUUAUGCGGGGAUAAAGUUCGCCAUGCGUGGUGUUUUGCAUGUACCGCAUGAAUAAGGACCGGCUAAUUCCGUGCCAGCAGCAGC